UACGUAGGGUGCGAGCGUUGUCCGGAAUUAUUGGGCGUAAAGGGCUCGUAGGCGGUUUGUCGCGUCGGGAGUGAAAUCCACUGGCUUAACUGGUGGCUUGCUUUCGAUACGGGCAGACUGGAGGUAUGCAGGGGAGAACGGAAUUCCUGGUGUAGCGGUGAAAUGCGCAGAUAUCAGGAGGAACACCGGUGGCGAAGGCGGUUCUCUGGGCAUAUCCUGACGCUGAGGAGCGAAAGUGUGGGGAGCGAACAGG
rnacentral:rRNA from 1 species